AGUGAACGCUGGCGGUAGGCCUAACACAUGCAAGUCGAACGGCAGCACAGUAAGAGCUUGCUCUUACGGGUGGCGAGUGGCGGACGGGUGAGGAAUACAUCGGAAUCUACUUUUUCGUGGGGGGUAACGUAGGGAAACUUACGCUAAUACCGCAUCCGACCUACGGGUGAAAGCAGGGGAUCUUCGGACCUUGCGCGAUUGAAUGAGCCGAUGUCGGAUUAGCUAGUUGGCGGGGUAAAGGCCCACCAAGGCGACGAUCCGUAGCUGGUCUGAGAGGAUGAUCAGCCACACUGGAACUGAGACACGGUCCAGACUCCUACGGGAGGCAGCAGUGGGGAAUAUUGGACAAUGGGCGCAAGCCUGAUCCAGCCAUACCGCGUGGGUGAAGAAGGCCUUCGGGUUGUAAAGCCCUUUUGUUGGGAAAGAAAAGCAGCAGGUUAAUACCCCGCUGUUCUGACGGUACCCAAAGAAUAAGCACCGGCUAACUUCGUG
rnacentral:rRNA from 1 species